rnacentral:rRNA from 1 species
CACGUAGGUGGCAAGCGUUGUCCGGAUUUACUGGGCGUAAAGAGCGCGCAGGCGGUCGGCCAAGUCGGAUGUGAAAGCCCCCGGCCCAACUGGGGAGGGUCAUUCGAUACUGGUCGACUCGAAGGCAGGAGAGGGAAGCGGAAUUCCCGGUGUAGUGGUGAAAUGCGUAGAUAUCGGGAGGAACACCAGUGGCGAAGGCGGCUAGCUGGUCCAUUACUGACGCUGAGGCGCGACAGCGUGGGGAGCAAACAGG